CACCUUCCGCCAUUCCGAAUACCAAUCCCUCCAGACCCACAAGUUGGUAGGAUUCGCGACCGUUCGGAGUCGGCGACGGCAAGAGAGACGCAGCCAGAUUUUCUCUCGUUGCUUCCAGAAUCAGUAUUUGUCUCAGUUGGAAAGGAGAGAAGAAGAUGAAAACAAGUAGAGAAGAAAGUACAAUGGAGGAGGAAAGGGAUUCAAAGAGACAGAUUGUUGAGCAGUCAUCUCUCUCUCCUCCGCCCCUUGGAUUCGACAACCCACUUCUGCCAUUAGCUAAUACUUAUGAUGAUGAUGAGGAGGAGGAGGAGGAUUUAAGGAGGGAAUCCACUCAUGGUGGUAGACAAGAGGUUAAUGGAGGAAGGAUGGAGCAAAAUGGUCAUAGAGCUGAGAUAGACGUAGAUGAUGAUGAUGAGAGUGACGAUGAUGACAGACUUGGACAAGGGUUUGGUCAAGGGCGGCGAACCCGCUUGGUUGAAGUCCGGCGGGAUUGCCCAUACCUCGAUACCGUUGAUCGACAAGUGUUGGAUUUUGAUUUUGAGAAGUUUUGCUCUGUCUCCUUGUCAAAUUUAAAUGUCUAUGCAUGCUUGGUUUGUGGAAAAUAUUACCAAGGAAGAGGGCAGAAAUCCCAUGCAUAUACGCAUAGCCUUGAAGCUGGCCACCAUGUCUACAUCAAUCUUCAAACAGAAAAAGUUUACUGUCUUCCUGAUGGAUAUGAAAUUAACGAUCCAUCAUUGGAUGACAUUCGGCAAGUCCUGAACCCAAGGUUUACAAACGAGCAAGUUGAGCAUCUUGACAGAAACAGACAGUGGUCCAGGGCACUAGAUGGUUCUGACUACCUUCCAGGAAUGGUGGGCCUCAAUAACAUAAAGAACACCGAUUUUGUGAAUGUCACAAUCCAAUCAUUGAUGAGAGUGACUCCCUUGAGGAACUUUUUUCUCAUUCCAGAGAACUAUCAGCACUGCAAAUCUCCUCUUGUUCAGCGGUUUGGAGAACUUACGCGAAAAAUAUGGCAUGCUCGAAACUUUAAAGGACAGGUGAGUCCUCAUGAAUUUCUUCAGGCAGUUAUGAAAGCUAGUAAGAAGCGGUUCCGAAUAGGUGUGCAGUCUGACCCAGUUGAAUUUAUCUCUUGGCUUCUGAACACCCUGCAUGUAGAUCUUAGAACUUCGAAAAGGAAGACCAGCAUCAUAAACCAAUGCUUUCAGGGGGAAUUGGAGGUUGUGAAUGAGAUUCCAAACAAGGGUAUCGCUGAGAAGAAAGAAAAUGGUGAUGACCAGAAUGGUAUGCUAAAACCAACUGAUGCUGGAACUGCCCAUGAUGGCAUUUUCACAGAAACUUCCAGGAUGACAUUCUUGAUGCUUGGCCUUGAUUUGCCACCACCACCUCUUUUUCAAGAUGUGAUGGAGAAAAAUAUAAUACCCCAGGUCCCGUUGUUCAAUAUACUAAAGAAGUUUGAUGGUGAGGUUGUGACUGAAGUUGUUCGUCCUUGUAUAGCAAGAAAGAGAUUCCGUGUUACCAGAUUGCCACAAUAUUUGAUACUCCAUAUGCGCCGCUUUACAAAGAACAACUUCUUUGUCGAGAAGAACCCGACUUUAGUUAAUUUCCCUGUGAAGAAUUUGGAAUUGAAGGACUAUAUUCCAUUGCCAACACCCAAAGAGAAUGAAAGAACCCGUUCCAAGUACGAUUUGAUUGCCAAUAUUGUCCAUGAUGGUAAACAUGAUGAGGGUUACUACAGGGUUUUUGUGCAGAGGAAGUCAGAAGAACUAUGGUAUGAGAUGCAGGACUUGCAUGUUUCUGAAACCCUUCCUCAAAUGGUUGCACUCUCAGAGACUUAUAUGCAGAUAUAUGAGCAGCAUCGGUAGUGAAGCAAAGCCAAGUCCCAACUUAAGUUGUUACUGGACUGCAUUGAUGUACCCACUUUUUGGUCUUGGCAAGAUAUCUCAACUUUAUCCAGAAGGGUAAAAUUGGGGAUCUAUUGCUGCAUUGCCAUCUCUGUCGGCACUGUAGAUUGUGACUGGUUUCGUGGAGAAUGUGAUAUGAUUUCAGGUUCUUGUUAUGUACGACGUGUUUUGCCUACCACUUUUUUUUUUCCUCUCUCUUUACCUGAUUAAUACAGAAUCGACAGGAGUGCCCUGCUUCUGAAUUGCCCGAAGCAAACAUCAGCUAGGAUGAUGUGAAUUCUCUGUACUUAUUUUAAAUUGUUUGUUUCCCUCAUUUUCCUGCUAGGAUUGGUGGUAGAGUCGUGUAAACACCUCUUUUGUAUGUGUAUAUAUAUAUAUAUAUAUAUAUAUAUAUAUUGGACCUU